GAUGAACGCUAGCGGCAGGCCUAACACAUGCAAGUCGAGGGGUAGAGGAAGCUUGCUUCCUUGAGACCGGCGCACGGGUGCGUAACGCGUAUGCAAUCUACCUUAUACAGAGGGAUAGCCCAGAGAAAUUUGGAUUAAUACCUCAUAGUAUUAUGAAAUCGCAUGGUUUUAUAAUUAAAGUUCCAACGGUAUAAGAUGAGCAUGCGUCCCAUUAGUUAGUUGGUAAGGUAACGGCUUACCAAGACAAUGAUGGGUAGGGGUCCUGAGAGGGAGAUCCCCCACACUGGUACUGAGACACGGACCAGACUCCUACGGGAGGCAGCAGUGAGGAAUAUUGGUCAAUGGACGCAAGUCUGAACCAGCCAUGCCGCGUGCAGGAUGACGGUCCUAUGGAUUGUAAACUGCUUUUAUACAGGAAGAAACACUCGGACGUGUCCGAGCUUGACGGUACUGUAGGAAUAAGCAUCGGCUAACUCCGUGCCAGCAGCCGCCGUAAGAC
rnacentral:rRNA from 1 species